AGGAGUAAACUCCCAUGAAGUGCGUAGCAAUGUUGCGGAAGCCAAUACUGCAAGGAACCAUGAGUGGCCAGAAAAUGAAGCCCCAAUCCAGCAGCUAUAAGGAAAUGAAAAAUGCCAACAACCUGAGGGAGCAUGAAAGUGGAUCUUUCCCCAGUCCAGCCUCUGAUAAGACUGCAGUUUCCUCCAACCACUGUACUGCACACCGGGAAGACACUGAAGGACAGAGCCUAGUUAAGCUGUACCUGGAAUGUUGACCUACAGAAACUGUGAGAUUAUGAAUGUACUUGGUGACUACCGUGGAAUCCGAAGCAAGCUUCUGAUGGCACUGGGGACAAUGAGAAACAUAGGCAUGGAGUCUCUAAGCCCAGGCUGAUGCUUUGAUGGUUCAUUGUGAAACUUCCUGAAAAUCCCCUCAGAUCUUUAAUGCAAAGCAUCAACAAACAGUUUGUGUUCUAGGAUUCUGUGAAUUCCAUGCAUCAAAAUCCUCAUCCUGCUUUUCUACCAAUCCAGGACUAUUGUAUCAUGAAUUUUACCCAAUCCUAAUCAUGCCAACCAACAUUGCAAGACUUGCCUUUAACCAAACUUCUGCUUCUUAAUAAAUUCUGACCUUGCC